GGGUCUGCAAGGCUGCACUUCGGGGAAGGGGGCAGCACCCCGGAGCCUGAGCAGCUUCGGAGCGCACUAGUCUGGCCGCUUUACAACCCAGAGAGAGAUCCGCGGGGGUUCCCAGGUGGGCCAAUAUCCUCACAAGGGUUCUUUAAAUGUAGAAGCAGAGCCUCCAGAAAGGAACUCAGCCCUGCUGACAUCUUGAUUUAAGCCCAGUGAGAUCCACUUCAGACUUCUGACCUCCAAAACUGUAAGAUAUUAAGUUUUGUUACAGUAGUAACAGGAACCUCAUAUACUUGAUAUAUUUAUUGGAGCCUCUUCAAGGUGUGGCAUUAUCUUUUUAUCUCCCAUUCCAUGGAACUUCAAAUUGUGCCAAGUAUCUUAAGGAGAAAACUGGCCCUUUGUCAAGCUUAGUUCUCUGCUCCUCCCUUCUCAAUGGGAUCUUGCCUCCACUUCUGUUUUUCCAGCCCUGAGACUGCCAUCAGUUCGGCUGGCUUCUCUGUAAGCCAGCAGUGACCCUCUGCUCAGGUAAAGCCAGAUUCCCCCUGGCCAUGUGCCGAGUGGUUCAUCUUUAACUGUCCUGGCUCUCCCUUCACUUACUCAUACAUUUGAAAGGAAAUAGGAUCUAUGAGCGCAGAGAUCACUUUUUUCUUGUCCAACAUUCUAACACAAGGUUGGAAAAUACUGUCUGCUAUAGUAUUGGGCUCAAAAAAUCAAACAGAUCAAUAAAUGCACACAAAUGUCUCAAAAGUGGGUUGAGCAAUCUCCUAUGCAGGCCUAUGGACAAAAACCAAAUAAAGUCCAGAGGUGAUCAUUCCUUCUAAGGUUAAUUAUUCACCUAAAACUAACACAGCCUAAAUCCAAUAGCAGCCACUGUGCCCCCGACCCUAGAUUAGAUCAAACUCUGAAAACUUCGUGUGUACUGGGACAAAGUGAUAUUGCAAAGAUAGGACAUCCAAAGUGCUAAAGUCAUUUCUGUGCUUUGGUACAGGCUCUCAUAAAUAGCAAAGCAGAAGGUUAGAUGCUUGUAUGGUGGAAAACAGUUUUAAAACUUCACGGC
rnacentral:lncRNA from 10 species